rnacentral:rRNA from 1 species
AGAGUUUGAUCAUGGCUCAGAAUCAACGCUGGCGGCGCGCCUAACACAUGCAAGUCGAACGAGAAAGGGGAGCAAUCCCUGAGUAAAGUGGCGUACGGGUGAGUAACACGUGGGUAAUCUACCUCUUUGUGGGGAAUAACCCUGGGAAACCGGGGCUAAUACCGCAUAAGCCUGAGAAGGGAAAGCAGCAAUGCGCUGAGAGAGGAGCCCGCGGCCGAUUAGCUAGUUGGUGAGGUAACGGCCCACCAAGGCAAAGAUCGGUAGCCGGCCUGAGAGGGCACACGGCCACACUGGCACUGAAACACGGGCCAGACUCCUACGGGAGGCAGCAGUGGGGAAUCUUGCACAAUGGGGGAAACCCUGAUGCAGCGACGCCGCGUGAGCGAUGAAGCCCUUCGGGGUGUAAAGCUCUUUCGGCAGGGAAGAUUAUGACGGUACCUGCAGAAGCAGCUGCGGCUAACUACGUGCCAGCAGCCGCGGUAAUACGUAGGCAGCAAGCGUUGUUCGGAGUUACUGGGCGUAAAGGGUGUGUAGGCGGUCUCUUAAGUUUGUUGUGAAAUCUCCCGGCUCAACUGGGAGGGUGCGGCGAAUACUGAGAGGCUAGAGUGCGGGAGAGGAAAGUGGAAUUCCUGGUGUAGCGGUGAAAUGCGUAGAUAUCAGGAGGAACACCGGUGGUGUAAACGGCUUUCUGGACCGUAAC